rnacentral:sRNA from 1 species
GGAUGACUACACGCUGAAGUGGUGUGAGGUCAAGAGCCGAGACAACUACGGCAGCUUCCGGGAAGGAGAGCAGCUGCUGUACCAGCUUCCCAACAACAAGCUCCUCACCACCAAGAUUGGGCUGCUCAGCACCCUUCGGGGACGGGCACGGGCCAUGAGCCAGGCCAGCAAGGUGCCGGGGGUGCCCAGGCCAGGUGAGUCUGCCCCUGCCCCUGCUA